rnacentral:tRNA from 1 species
AGCAGGGUACCGAGCAGGGCGUGAACGGCUCGCUGACGGCGAUCUCCGGCGUGCCGGCGCCGUUGCGGGCGGCGUUCGGGUACGCCGUCAUGCUGC